rnacentral:rRNA from 1 species
AUGGUCAAGUAGGCAGACAUCUGCAUGCCUAAGGAUCGGGGUGGACUAGGUAUUAUUGCCUCGCGUCGCAUAAACGUUGCCCUCAUGUCGCGCCGGGUCUGGCGGAUCUUGCGGGGAGAGGAUGGUCUAUGGCUAUAGCUUCUCCACGCGAAAUAUCUUAGAGGCGAUCCACUCCUGGCUUGUUCUCGCCUGGAUGGCUCCUAG